UAGAGUUUGAUCCUGGCUCAGGAUGAACGCUAGCGGCAGGCUUAAUACAUGCAAGUCGAGGGGCAGCAUGGUGUAGCAAUACACUGAUGGCGACCGGCAAACGGGUGCGGAACACGUACGCAACUUACCCAAAACUGGGGAAUAGCCCGGGGAAACCCGGAUUAAUACCUCGUAACAUAAUGAGAAGGCAUCUUCUUAUUAUUAUAGCUCCGGCGGUUUUGGAUGGGCGUGCGCCUGAUUAGGUAGUUGGGGGGGUAACGGCCCACCAAGCCUGCGAUCAGUAACUGGUGUGAGAGCACGACCAGUCACACGGGCACUGAGACACGGGCCCGACUCCUACGGGAGGCAGCAGUAAGGAAUAUUGGUCAAUGGACGCAAGUCUGAACCAGCCAUGCCGCGUGAAGGAUGAAGGUCCUCUGGAUUGUAAACUUCUUUUAUAUGGGACGAAACCCGGGAAUUCCUUCCCGAUUGACGGUACCAUAGGAAUAAGCACCGGCUAACUCCGUGCCAGCAGCCGCGGUAAUACGGAGGGUGCAAGCGUUAUCCGGAUACACUGGGUUUAAAGGGUGCGUA
rnacentral:rRNA from 1 species